GCUUAGCCCCUCUCGGCUGUCUCUGAGGUUGGGACUGAGCUCCAUGUGACUCGAGCUGCCUGUGGGGCGUGGCUGGAGGGCCACUGCGUCCCCACCAGGAGUGACCUUGGCCUGUCCCCCCACUUCCAGGUGGUUUAUUUCACAGCCACGUUUCCGUACCUGAUGCUUGUCAUUUUGCUGAUCAGAGGUGUCACCCUUCCCGGAGCCUACCAGGGCAUCAUCUACUACUUGAAGCCAGAUUUGUUCCGCCUCAAGGACCCUCAGGUGUGGAUGGAUGCGGGCACACAGAUCUUCUUCUCCUUUGCCAUCUGCCAGGGGUGCCUGACAGCCCUGGGCAGCUACAACAAGUACCACAACAACUGCUACAAGGACUGCAUCGCCCUCUGCUUCCUGAACAGUGCCACCAGCUUUGUGGCUGGGUUUGUUGUCUUCUCCAUCCUGGGCUUCAUGUCCCAAGAGCAAGGGGUGCCCAUUUCUGAAGUGGCCGAGUCAGGUCCUGGGCUGGCCUUCAUCGCCUUCCCCAAGGCUGUGACUAUGAUGCCCUUA
rnacentral:sRNA from 1 species